rnacentral:rRNA from 1 species
UACGUAGGUGGCAAGCGUUGUCCGGAAUUAUUGGGCGUAAAGCGCGCGCAGGCGGUCCUUUAAGUCUGAUGUGAAAGCCCACGGCUCAACCGUGGAGGGUCAUUGGAUACUGGAUGGCUUGAGUUCGGGAGAGGGAUGCGGAAUUCCAGGUGUAGCGGUGAAAUGCGUAGAUAUCUGGAGGAACACCGGUGGCGAAGGCGGCAUCCUGGACCGACACUGACGCUGAGGAGCGAAAGCCAGGGGAGCAAACGGG